rnacentral:piRNA from 1 species
UUCUAGAGUAAGCCCCUUGUAUAUGUAUGC